GGGGGGAAACACAUCGACAUAUCAGAGGUAGUAGUUUAAGAUGGCAAAAUCAAGCAAUGUUAUGGUGUGUAUGAUCUUUAUCAUGUUUGUUUUGUUUUCCCUAUUAACUCAAGCAAUACUAGAACCAUCAUUUGCACCCGAGUCAUUAUCUACACCUGAAACAACAUCGCCAGUAAUGUCAAUUAAACUAUCUACUGCGAGUCGUAGCACUCACGUGAGUCUUAUAGGUUGCGGUAAAUCACCAGCAUGCUUUGGAGGUUUAUGUUGUGAGUGCGAUAGAAGCUUAUGUCUCAGUUGUUGUUACAAAGCGUAACAAAAUCACUUAUGUUCCAAUUACUAUAAAAUUUCUUACAAGUAAAAGACUUUUCUUUCA